rnacentral:rRNA from 1 species
AAUGAACGCUGGCGGCAGGCCUAACACAUGCAAGUCGAACGGAUCCUUCGGGAUUAGUGGCGGACGGGUGAGUAACGCGUGGGAACAUACCCUUUGGUACGGAAUAGCCUCGGGAAACUGGGAGUAAUACCGUAUGUGGUCGAGAGACGAAAGAUUUAUCGCCAGAGGAGUUGGCCCGCGUUGGAUUAGGUAGUUGGUGGGGUAAUGGCCUACCAAGCCGACGAUCCAUAGCUGGUUUGAGAGGAUGAUCAGCCACACUGGGACUGAGACACGGCCCAGACUCCUACGGGAGGCAGCAGUGGGGAAUCUUAGACAAUGGGGGAAACCCUGAUCAAGCCAUGCCGCGUGAUCGAUGAAGGCCUUAGGGUUGUAAAGAUCUUUCAGGUGGGAAGAUAAUGACUGUACCACCAGAAGAAGCCCCGGCUAACUCCGUGCCAGCAGCCGCGGUAA